UGUAUUCACUACUGUAAGUCGCUCUGGAUAAAAGCGUCUGCUAAAUGACAAAUG
rfam:Salmo salar isolate Sally breed double haploid chromosome ssa01, whole genome shotgun sequence.